rnacentral:rRNA from 1 species
GUGGGGGAUAACCAUUGGAAACGAUGGCUAAUACCGCAUGAUGCCUACGGGCCAAAGAGGGGGACCUUCGGGCCUCUCGCGUCAGGAUAUGCCUAGGUGGGAUUAGCUAGUUGGUGAGGUAAGUGGCUCACCAAGGCGACGAUCCCUAGCUGGUCUGAGAGGAUGAUCAGCCACACUGGAACUGAGACACGGUCCAGACUCCUACGGGAGGCAGCAGUGGGGAAUAUUGCACAAUGGGCGCAAGCCUGAUGCAGCCAUGCCGCGUGUGUGAAGAAGGCCUUCGGGUUGUAAAGCACUUUCAGUCGUGAGGAAGGUGGUGUAGUUAAUAGCUGCAUUAUUUGACGUUAGCGACAGAAGAAGCACCGGCUAACUCCGUGCCAGCAGCCGCGGUAAUACGGAGGGUGCGAGCGUUAAUCGGAAUUACUGGGCGUAAAGCGCAUGCAGGUGGUUUGUUAAGUCAGAUGUGAAAGCCCGGGGCUCAACCUCGGAAUAGCAUUUGAAACUGGCAGACUAGAGUACUGUAGAGGGGGGUAGAAUUUCAGGUGUAGCGGUGAAA